rnacentral:rRNA from 1 species
GAGUUUGAUCGUGGCUCAGAUUGAACGCUGGCGGCAUGCCUUACACAUGCAAGUCGAACGGCAGCACGGGAGCUUGCUCCUGGUGGCGAGUGGCGAACGGGUGAGUAAUGCAUCGGAACGUAUCCUGGAGUGGGGGAUAACGUAGCGAAGUUAACGCUAAUACCGCAUAUUCUGUGAGCAGGAAAGACGGGGGACCGUUCGGGCCGUCGCGCUCUUGGAGCGGCCGGAUGUCGGA